rnacentral:rRNA from 1 species
UCCGUAGGUGAACCUGCGGAAGGAUCAUUACUGAGUUCAUGCCCUCACGGGUAGAUCUCCACCCUUGAAUACAAACUCUUGUUGCUUUGGCGGGCCGCUUCGGCUACUGGCUUCGGCUGGUGAGUGCCCGCCAGAGAGCCCUAAACUUUGAAUUACAGUGUCGUCUGAGUACUAUAUAAUAGUUAAAACUUUCAACAACGGAUCUCUUGGUUCUGGCAUCGAUGAAGAACGCAGCGAAAUGCGAUAAGUAAUGUGAAUUGCAGAAUUCAGUGAAUCAUCGAAUCUUUGAACGCACAUUGCGCCCCUUGGUAUUCCGGGGGGCAGUGCCUGCUUUCGAGCGUCAUUAUAACCCUCAAGCCUAGCUUGGUGUUGGAGCAUGCUACCUAAGCAGCUCUUAAAAUCAGUGGCAGUGCCCUUCGGCUCUAAGCGUAGUAACUUCUCUCGCUAUGGAACCCGGAGGGUACGCGCCAGAACCCCACCUUACUUCAUGUGGUCCUCGGAUCAGGUAGGGAUACCCGCUGAACUUAAGCAUAUCAAUAAGCGGAGGGAAGUCGGACUGGCCAAGGGGCACACCAGGGGGGGGGAUA